GAUGAACGCUGGCGGCGUGCCUAAUACAUGCAAGUCGAGCGAACAGACGAGGAGCUUGCUCCUCUGACGUUAGCGGCGGACGGGUGAGUAACACGUGGAUAACCUACCUAUAAGACUGGGAUAACUUCGGGAAACCGGAGCUAAUACCGGAUAAUAUAUUGAACCGCAUUGUUCAAUAGUGAAAGACGGUUUUGCUGUCACUUAUAGAUGGAUCCGCGCCGCAUUAGCUAGUUGGUAAGGUAACGGCUUACCAAGGCGACGAUGCGUAGCCGACCUGAGAGGGGGAUCGGCCACACGGGAACUGAGACACGGUCCAGACUCCUACGGGAGGCAGCAGUAGGGAAUCUUACGCAAUGGGCGAAAGCCUGACGGAGCAACGCCGCGUGAGUGAUGAAGGUCUUCGGAUCGUAAAACUCUGUUAUUAGGGAAGAACAAAUGUGUAAGUAACUAUGCACGUCUUGACGGUACCUAAUCAGAAAGCCACGGCUAACUACGUG
rnacentral:rRNA from 1 species